rnacentral:lncRNA from 1 species
GCCCUUGUCCUUCUCAGUGACCUGCUGCUGACCCUGAGCUACCAGGUCCCCAAGGAGGACACAAGCUGCUCCUUCUCAUUCCUGAGCCCGUCUGCAGCCAAAGUUUGCUCCUUGGUGGGAGUGGCCUCGUUUGUUUCUCGUUGUGGAGCAGCCCAAAAUGUUCAAACGAUCCAAAAAUUCCAAAAAGCAUCGGCCCUACAUGUACUUUUCUCUCCUGGUCCCUUGGGGCGGGGUCUCUGCGCUCCUGUUGUGGUUGACAAACCCAUCCAGAUGCUGGACUCCUCCCUUGAAGUGCAGAGUCUGUGGAAGGCCACCAGCAGUUCUGGGGCCCGCCCUCGGGGGCUCGGUGCAGCCCUGGAUCACAGACUGGGCACACAAGCCUGUGGGUGUGGCCACAGCACAGAGGCUUUUCAGCCUCUUAUGGGGUCUCUUGGAGCUAUUUCAGAAGCACCUGGACACAUACAGCUGGGCAGAGACGCUCCUGAGUUCAUCUGCCGCGCCCUCGACUCUACCUGGCCGCUGGCUCACAGCCUGGUGCUUAAGCCACCCACCUGAUCCACAGCUGGUGGUCUGGAGCCCUGCCCCUUUCUCUAAGCCCCGCCCCCCGGAAUGGACCGGUGUCAGCGCAGAAGCCAGAGGCCAGACAGGACCGAUGAGAAAGAGGCUGCCAGCACUUCCCCAAUCUCUGCUGCCCACUCCUGCUCGUCAGGUUCUGCAAGAUCCCCGUGGAGCGUGGAGCUCUGGGGUGGCUGCAGCCCCGAGAUUGGGCUGGCCCUUCUGGCCGUUGGUGCAAGGACCCU